ACAUGCAAGUCAACGGACUGUGGUAAUUAUGAUUGAAGAGCUUGCUCGGAGAGAUUAAUUACAAUGCAGUCAGUGGCGAACGGGUGAGUAACACGUGGGAAACCUACCUCUUAGCAGGGGAUAACAUUUGGAAACAGAUGCUAAUACCGUAUAACAAUUAGAACCGCAUGGUUCAAGUUUAAAAGAUGGUUCUGCUAUCACUAAGAGAUGGUCCCGCGGCGUAUUAGCUAGAUGGUGAAGUAAUGGCUCACCAUGGCAAUGAUACGUAGCCGAGUUGAGAGACUGAUCGGCCACAUUGGGACUGAGACACGGCCCAAACUCCUACGGGAGGCAGCAGUAGGGAAUCUUCCACAUGGACGAAAGUCUGAUGGAGCAACGCCGCGUGUGUGAUGAAGGCUUUCGGGUCGUAAAACACUGUUAUAAGAGAAGAACGUCAGUGAGAGUAACUGUUCAUUGAGUGACGGUAUCUUAUCAGAAAGGGACGGCUAAAUACGUG
rnacentral:rRNA from 1 species